rnacentral:rRNA from 1 species
CCUACGGGAGGCAGCAGUGAGGAAUAUUGGACAAUGGGCGCAAGCCUGAUCCAGCCAUGCCGCGUGCAGGAUGACGGUCCUAUGGAUUGUAAACUGCUUUUGCACAGGAAGAAACACCCCCUCGUGAGGGGGCUUGACGGUACUGUGAGAAUAAGGAUCGGCUAACUCCGUGCCAGCAGCCGCGGUAAUACGGAGGAUCCAAGCGUUAUCCGGAAUCAUUGGGUUUAAAGGGUCCGUAGGCGGUCUUAUAAGUCAGUGGUGAAAUCUCCCCGCUCAACGGGGAAACGGCCAUUGAUACUGUAAGACUUGAAUUAUUAGGAAGUAACUAGAAUAUGUAGUGUAGCGGUGAAAUGCUUAGAGAUUACAUGGAAUACCAAUUGCGAAGGCAGGUUACUACUAAUGGAUUGACGCUGAUGGACGAAAGCGUGGGUAGCGAACAGGAUUAGAUACCCUGGUAGUCCACGCCGUAAACGAUGGAUACUAGCUGUUGGGAGCAAUCUCAGUGGCUAAGCGAAAGUGAUAAGUAUCCCACCUAGGGAGUACGUUCGCAAGAAUGAAACUCAAAUGAAUUGACGG